GACGAACGCUGGCGGCGUGCUUAACACAUGCAAGUCGAACGGAAAGGCCCUGCUCUUGUGGGGUGCUCGAGUGGCGAACGGGUGAGUAACACGUGAGUAACCUGCCCUUGACUUUGGGAUAACUUCAGGAAACUGGGGCUAAUACCGGAUAGGAGCUCCUGCUGCACGGUGGGGGUUGGAAAGUUUCGGCGGUUGGGGAUGGACUCGCGGCUUAUCAGCUUGUUGGUGGGGUAGUGGCUUACCAAGGCUUUGACGGGUAGCCGGCCUGAGAGGGUGACCGGCCACAUGGGGACUGAGAUACGGCCCAGACUCGUACGGGAGGCAGCAGUGGGGAAUAUUGCACAAUGGGCGGAAGCCUGAUGCAGCAACGCCGCGUGCGGGAUGACGGCCUUCGGGUUGUAAACCGCUUUCGCCUGUGACGAAGCGUGAGUGACGGUAAUGGGUAAAGAAGCACCGGCUAACUACGUG
rnacentral:rRNA from 1 species